rnacentral:rRNA from 1 species
UCCCGCACAAGCAGCGGAGCGUGUGGUUAAUUCGAUGCUACACGAAGAACCUUACCUGGGUUUGACAUAGAGGUAGUAGGGAAGCGAAAGCGGACCGACCCUUCGGGGAGCCUCUACAGGUGUUGCAUGGCUGUCGUCAGCUCGUGUCGUGAGAUGUUCGGUUAAGUCCGCUAACGAGCGCAACCCUCGCUGUGUGUUACAAGUGUCACACGGUACUGCCGAUAUUAAGUCGGAGGAAGGUGGGGAUGACGUCAAGUCAGCAUGACCUUUAUAUCCAGGGCUACACACACGCUACAAUGGCCAGUACAAUGGGUUGCCAAGCCGCGAGGCGGAGCCAAUCCUAAAAAGCUGGCCUCAGUUCAGAUUGCAGUCUGCAACUCGACUGCAUGAAGUUGGAGCUGCUAGUAACCGCAGGUCAGCAAUACUGCGGUGAAUACGUUCCCGGGGAUU